ACGUAUCACCCAGUCCUAGACCUAUGUAUUAAUUUAAUGGACUGACCAUCAUCAAUGAUUUAUUUAUAGAGGCACCAGCCAUCCAUGUCCAGGUGCUGUUUUAGCCAAUUUAAUGGACUGUUCGGUUUGAAAAUGCUGUCCAUCACUCUUUGAUCUGCGUGAGGGGCAGUUUCGCCAAAUAUCCAGUUGUCUAGACUUAUCUAAUAUGUGUAGGUCUUAACAAAAUUUUCCCUUUGUCAAACUUACAUGUUGGUGUGUUUCACCGUUCGAAGUGUGCGUUUAGAGGAAGUGACCAUGCGUUUUUGCAACUAAGUUAUAUAACAAAAAAACCCUGCCAUAUGACGAACGCGUGCGUUUUGAGUGUGAACGGAGUGUACGUUUAGGCGGAGACUACUGUAUCGAUUCUAUUGUUUAAUUGGAAAGAUACUUUUAAUAUUCAUUUGGUCAGUUCAAAGAACAUUAUGUGCACAGAACAAAGAGAGUAUACGUACUCACUACUUUUCUUGGAGCUGUAUUUUGUGUUCUGUGACAGAAGAUCAAGAGGUGCCUAUUUUAAUUUUUUGUGUAUCUUGUGUUGUUUUGGUACUUCGUACCUUCUGGCGUUGUUAGAUACUUAUAACGCACUGCACAUCGUCAAAUUUACACUGUUGUUCAGAGUCAGAAUAAAAUGAAUGCGUUCAUUUGUGAAACCU